rnacentral:rRNA from 1 species
AUUGAACGCUGGCGGCAUGCCUUACACAUGCAAGUCGAACGGUAACGGGCCUUCGGGUGCCGACGAGUGGCGCACGGGUGAGUAAUACAUCGGAACGUGCCCGAUCGUGGGGGAUAACGAGGCGAAAGCUUUGCUAAUACCGCAUACGAUCUACGGAUGAAAGCCGGGGACCGCAAGGCCUUGCGCGGACGGAGCGGCCGAUGGCAGAUUAGGUAGUUGGUGGGAUAAAAGCUUACCAAGCCGACGAUCUGUAGCUGGUCUGAGAGGAUGAUCAGCCACACUGGGACUGAGACACGGCCCAGACUCCUACGGGAGGCAGCAGUGGGGAAUUUUGGACAAUGGGCGCAAGCCUGAUCCAGCCAUGCCGCGUGCAGGAUGAAGGCCUUCGGGUUGUAAACUGCUUUUGUACGGAACGAAAAGCCUUCUUUUAAUACAGGAGGGUCAUGACGGUACCGUAAGAAUAAGCACCGGCUAACUACGUG